GGCGGGCACCCCUCCCCCAGCCUCGCUGCCACCUUGCAGUUUGAUCUCAGACGGUUGUGCUAGCGAUCAGCGAGACUCCAUGGGCGUACGACCCUCCCAGCCAGGUCUGCUGUGGUUUUCUGGGGGUCCACUCUGGACCCUCAUCACCUCAGUCUCUCCUGCACCUGGAGGUAUCACCAGUGAAGGCUGCGAAACAGCAAAGAUGGCGGCCUGUUCCUUCCUCUGGGAGCACCAGUCCAAGGAGGUACCGACUUGAUGCCAGCUGGAACGCUCCUGUAGGAGGUGUCUGGAGACCCCUGUUGGGAGGUCUUGCCCAGUCAGGAGAAACAGGAUCAGGGACUGCUUAAAGAAGCAGUCUGGCUGCCCUUCGGCAGAGCAGGUGUGCUGUGGUGACUCCCAGGAGUCUCCAGAGCCAGCAGGCUGGAAAGGCUCAGUCGGCUGAACUGGGGAGACAGCAGCUACCCCUCUCCCUGGGGACUUCAUCCCAGGGAGAAAUCAGAGUUCUGUCCAUAGAACUCUGGCUGGAGUUGCUAAAAUUCCGAUGGGGAGGCCCUGUCCGGUGAGGAGGGAUGGAUUUCGGUCUCACUUAAAGAAGCAGCCCGGCCACGGUCAGUCACAGCAGCUGUGCUGUGUUAUGGGGGACUCCUCCUGGUCCCUGGUGCCAGCAGGCUAGAGCGGCCAACUCAAACCACAGAUAGAGUGGCUGCCCUACCCCGGGAACCCGGUCCAUCUCCGGCUGUCUCCAGCCUGCUGCUGCUGGCCAGCUGGAAUUCCAAGCCAAUGGGACUUGUGAGGUGCUGUGGGAGUGGGGCCUCAGAAUGAUGUCACUUGGCUCCCUGGAUUCAGCCCCCUUCCUAGGGGAAUGCACGGAUGUAUCUUCCGCUUUGCUGGAAUUCUCGGGGCAGAGGAUGCAAAACUCCUGGGCUUUCACGCAUGCCCCAGUGAGCCAGCGAGCAUUCCGCCCAGACUCCACACAGCUCUGUGCUUCAGACCCAAGGCCAUGGCUGAGCUCACCAGGGGACCUCCUGAUCUGCAGGUUGCAAAGAUCCGUGGGAGAAGCACGGUUUCCCGGGCAGAG
rnacentral:lncRNA from 10 species